rnacentral:rRNA from 1 species
UACGUAGGGUGCAAGCGUUAAUCGGAAUUACUGGGCGUAAAGCGUGCGCAGGCGGUUUUGUAAGACUGACGUGAAAUCCCCCGGGCUCAACCUGGGAAUGGCGUUGGUGACUGCAAGGCUAGAGUUUGGCAGAGGGGGUAGAAUUCCACGUGUAGCAGUGAAAUGCGUAGAUAUGUGGAGGAACACCGAUGGCGAAGGCAGCCCCCUGGGUCAAAACUGACGCUCAUGCACGAAAGCGUGGGGAGCAAACAGG